UACGUAGGUGGCAAGCGUUGUCCGGAUUUAUUGGGCGUAAAGCGCGCGCAGGCGGUCUUUUAAGUCUGAUGUGAAAUCUCGCGGCUCAACCGCGAGCGGUCAUUGGAAACUGGGAGACUUGAGUACAGAAGAGGAGAGUGGAAUUCCCAGUGUAGAGGUGAAAUUCGUAGAUAUUGGGAAGAACACCGGUGGCGAAGGCGGCUCACUGGCCAGUUUCUGACGCUGUAGCGCGAAAGCGUGGGGAGCAAACAGG
rnacentral:rRNA from 1 species